rnacentral:rRNA from 1 species
AUUGAACGCUGGCGGCAGGCCUAACACAUGCAAGUCGAGCGGAUGAAGGGAGCUUGCUCCUGGAUUCAGCGGCGGACGGGUGAGUAAUGCCUAGGAAUCUGCCUGGUAGUGGGGGAUAACGUCCGGAAACGGGCGCUAAUACCGCAUACGUCCUGAGGGAGAAAGUGGGGGAUCUUCGGACCUCACGCUAUCAGAUGAGCCUAGGUCGGAUUAGCUAGUUGGUGGGGUAAAGGCCUACCAAGGCGACGAUCCGUAACUGGUCUGAGAGGAUGAUCAGUCACACUGGAACUGAGACACGGUCCAGACUCCUACGGGAGGCAGCAGUGGGGAAUAUUGGACAAUGGGCGAAAGCCUGGUCCAGCCAUGCCGCGUCUGUGAAGAAGGUCUUCGGAUUGUAAAGCACUUUAAGUUGGGAGGAAGGGCAGUAAGUUAAUACCUUGCUGUUUUGACGUUACCAACAGAAUAAGCACCGGCUAACUUCGUG